rnacentral:rRNA from 1 species
UACGGGGGGGGCAAGCGUUGUUCGGAAUUACUGGGCGUAAAGGGUUUGUAGGUGGCCGGCUAAGUCAGACGUGAAAUCCCCAAGCUUAACUUGGGAACUGCAUCCGAUACUGGAUGGCUUGAAUCCGGGAGAGGGAUGCAGAAUUCCAGGUGUAGCGGUGAAAUGCGUAGAUAUCUGGAGGAAUACCGGUGGCGAAGGCGGCAUCCUGGACCGGCAUUGACGCUGAGGAGCGAAAGCUAGGGGAGCAAACGGG